rnacentral:rRNA from 1 species
CCUACGGGGGGCUGCAGUGGGGAAUUUUGGACAAUGGGCGCAAGCCUGAUCCAGCAAUGCCGCGUGCAGGAUGAAGGCCUUCGGGUUGUAAACUGCUUUUGUACGGAACGAAACGGUGAGCUUUAAUACAGUUUGCUAAUGACGGUACCGUAAGAAUAAGCACCGGCUAACUACGUGCCAGCAGCCGCGGUAAUACGUAGGGGGAGAGCGUUAAGCAGAAUUACUGGGGGUGAAGCUUGAACACGCAUGUGAAAUCCCCGGGCUCAACCUGGGACCUGCAUUUGUGACUGUAUAGCUAGAGUACGGUAGAGGGGGAUGGAAUUCCGCGUGUAGCAGUGAAAUGCGUAGAUAUGCGGAGGAACACCGAUGGCGAAGGCAAUCCCCUGGACCUGUACUGACGCUCAUGCACGAAAGCGUGGGGAGCAAACAGGAUUAGAUACCCUAGUAGUC